rnacentral:rRNA from 1 species
UGGUGGGUAGUUUGACUGGGGCGGUCUCCUCCUAAAGAGUAACGGAGGAGCACGAAGGUUGGCUAAUCCUGGUCGGACAUCAGGAGGUUAGUGCAAUGGCAUAAGCCAGCUUGACUGCGAGCGUGACGGCGCGAGCAGGUGCGAAAGCAGGUCAUAGUGAUCCGGUGGUUCUGAAUGGAAGGGCCAUCGCUCAACGGAUAAAAGGUACUCCGGGGAUAACAGGCUGAUACCGCCCAAGAGUUCAUAUCGACGGCGGUGUUUGGCACCUCGAUGUCGGCUCAUCACAUCCUGGGGCUGAAGUAGGUCCCAAGGGUAUGGCUGUUCGCCAUUUAAAGUGGUACGCGAGCUGGGUUUAGAACGUCGUGAGACAGUUCGGUCCCUAUCUGCCGUGGGCGCUGGAGAACUGAGGGGGGCUGCUCCUAGUACGAGAGGACCGGAGUGGACGCAUCACUGGUGUUCGGGUUGUCAUGCCAAUGGCACUGCCCGGUAGCUAAAUGCGGAAGAGAUAAGUGCUGAAAGCAUCUAAGCACGAAACUUGCCCCGAGAUGAGUUCUCCCUGAGACUUUAAGUCUCCUGAAGGAACGUUGAAGACGACGACGUUGAUAGGCCGG